rnacentral:rRNA from 1 species
UAGUCCACGCUGUAAACGAUGAGUGCAAGGUGUUGGGGGUCAAACCUCGGUGCCGCCGUUAACACAGUAAGCACUCCGCCUGGGGAGUACGUACGCAAGUAUGAAACUCAAAGGAAUUGACGGGGACCCGCACAAGUAGCGGAGCAUGUGGUUUAAUUCGAUGCAACGCGAAGAACCUUACCAGGGCUUGACAUAAAAGUGACGAGGGAUAGAGAUAUGCCUUUUCUCUUCGGAGACAGUUUUAC